GCCUGUCACUCUGAUGCCUCUCUCUACUCAAAUGGCAGAAACCAACCAGGUACAUCCCAGCCUUCUUGCACAUAGAAACACUACACAGCACUUCAGCUGUAUGUUUGGGGGCCAUUUUAAACAGCAAAAUCAUCAACAGGAAGCAGAAAAUUGUAAAAAUUGUGGCACUAAAUAGACCAUGUAAAGGACACAUGUUUGCAAUAAGAAAGCUGAAACAAGAAGGGGGAGUGUCACCUUAUUUGAUCCAGCUAGAAACUCAGGUGCUGGUAUUCCAGCAACACUCAGGCGGCUGCUCCAGGAGGCUGCAGAGGGGUCCUUUUUAGCCGUCAACAAAACUGGCUAUGGUCACGCCCAUUGGGAAACUCAUUGCUGCCUUCAAGGUGAUGGCCACAGUGGCAGAACCUAGGAAGCCAAGAAGAAACCAGAGAAUGGAGACACAUGGCAGCAAUGGCAAGUCAUCAGACCCAGGAUUUCCCAAAGAACACUGGUCCAGGAAGAUGCUCUGUGAAAAAGUGUUCCCUGGUCGGAGAAAUUUGUGAAACACUUUGCAUAAUACUUAAAAGAAUGUAUGGCACAUCAAAGGUAAUAUGCAAUAAAAGAAUUCAUUUUUUUAAAACCAA
rnacentral:lncRNA from 10 species